CAAGAACAAGUUUAUGAUUCAUGAAGUGGAGAGGGGAAAUCUCCCUUACUCCCUUAAAGAGUUUACAAUUGUUUACAAGAGGCUUAAAUACAUAAAUGGAGGCUGGAUACAUCAGAUAACCUAAGCAUGUGAAGUCAACAUAAAGGGGAGCACCCAUUUUGAAUUCUAUGGACCAGAAUCAUCACAUGCUUGGCCAAUGGGAGUCUUUGGUGUGUCUGGCCUUUACAGGCUGUUAUGAGCUGUCUUGUGGACUGAAUACUUGGCUGUGAUUGGUCUGUGUGAGCUGGAGAGAAAGGCACCUUCCUGGUUGCUUCCUAAGGCAUCUUUGAAUAUGCCAAAUGGAUCUUUCUCCCUUGGAUAGUCUCACACGCCCUUCUCCUUGCCUUGUCUCCCAAGACAUGAUCAGACUUGGCUGUACGGAUGUCAGGACCGUACACCUUGUGCCCUAAGAUUGCACAUUCCUCAAAUGUGCUCAAAUGGCCGAAAUGAUAAGUUUCGGGUCGAUCAUGUCCGUACGGUCUGUACCGUUCGUACGUCCGUCCGUACAGGUCGAUCCCUAACUUUGCACCAUCGACCAUAAUCUUCCAAACUCUUCCAAUGUCUUGUAAACACCAUCAAGACACUUCUUAGAUCUUGUCUCUUCUUUGCAUCAGCUUCUAAACACUUCCGAAGCUUAAUAGAACUCUUCUGGAGAUCUUCUGGAGCUUGCCCUAUUUAUAAACAAGCUCCAUCUUCUCUUCAGUUCAACACUCUCCCUCAAGCUUGACUUUAGGAGAUCCUAAGUCAAGCUUGGAACCCUGAAGAGUCUCCCUCAUUAAAAACCUUACAAGGAAAACCCAUUGGGACAAAACCUUGCAAGGGAAAAAGAGUAGAGCUCUCCAAAGCCUAGGGAUUGGCCAGUGAGCUCUUGUGCCUUAGAACCAGUGUGGUUGGACACAAGAAGCUCUGGAUCACGGCCUAACAGGUGCAGCAACUCUUCACAGCUUUGCGCACACUUCACACUGUACCUGAUACAUCAUUCCACAAGUGUAUCAGUACUUAUCAAGUAACAUAACUCAAUCAAUUCAUGCUUAUAGACCGUCUUAGUAAGACUAGUAUUCCUCAUAGAUUACUAGAUAUGUUGCCGUCUAGGAAAACUAGUAUUCCUAACGAAUUACUAGAUAUGAUUGAAAAUGAUGAAUUGAAAUUGAGUACGGGGAAACUUCCCUUUUGUUUUGGUGAGGAGUGACUAGAUUGGCUCGUCACUUGAAUUCCUCAUACUAUGUUAUUUCACCAUCCUCAUGGCAACACCAACUCUUCUUGGAACUCUCCUUUGGACCGGCCUGAGUCUUCCCUUCUCUCGUGGCUUCUUGCCAUCUCCAUCAGGUAAGACAUGCCUAGCUCCAUUUUGCUUUGGUGAGGAGUGGCUGCUCUCUUACCAUGAAAGCUCACCAACGCUCCCCCUCAAGCUUGAGACCGAGUAUAGGGAAGAUCCAAGCUUGAAGGUGAGCGCAUACUAAGAUCCAUGAUCACUCUUGUGGGAACACCUCCAUCUUCUUCAGACUUGAUGCUUACAGCUCCACUUAACCACCAUUGCACUGAGGAGAUACCUCAGCUCACUCUCCACGCAUUGCACUGAGGAGAUACCUCACCUCACUCUCCAAGCAUCUCACACCAGAAGCUUAUUGAGUAGCUUUCUUCUUCCCUCUACUUCGGCUGGAUCACUCCAUGAUCAGCUUGCAAUGGUCUUGAGUAGCUAUGAGCUGAUUCAAAGCUUCCCAACUGAAGGUAUCUGUUCUAACUCCAUAUAGUAGCUGAUCCAUAGCUUUCCAACCAGAAGGUAUUGUUCCAACUGAAGGUAACUGCUCUAACUCUAUAUAGUAGCUGAUCCAUAGCUUCCCAACCAGAAGGUAACUGUUCUAGCCCCACUUAAACCACCAUUGCCACAACAUCCUCUCUACCCUCUUUGGAGCAGGCUGUGGACUUCCCACAGAAUGUUGGCAACAUGCUUCAUCUUAUCAUUCCCUUGUAAUGAUAAGGAGGAAACAGGUCUUGAACUUUGGCUCUUCAGGUUGCUCAUUUGAAUCCCCACCGCAAGCUUGAGACCGAGUAUAGGGGAGAUCCAAGCUUGAAAUGAGCCUCUAUGAACUUCAAGACCAGGAGCACAUCACCCUAACAGCUGCGCUUAAAUCACUGAUCCACCCUUUUGCCUUCAGCUUCAAGUACCCUCAGAUCACCGGCCUUCCUCAUGGCUUAGGUGGUGACCUUCUUCUUCUUGUGUGUCUUGAACCAGGAGCUCAACAACCUCGUGGCCUGCGCUUCUUAAACCGGCUUCUACACACAAGAACCUUCCCAUUGCUCCACACAAUGGUUGGUCUUCCGCUUGUAUGUCUUGAACCAGGAGCUCAACAACCUCGUGGCCUGCGCUUCUUAAACCAGCUUCUACACACAAGUAUCUUCCCAUUGCUCCACACAAUGGUUCAAGUCUUCCUCUUGUCUUGGAUAGGUGGUGAGCAGAGAACACUUCUUGUGAACCUGAAACACCACUCAAACUCCAGCAAGGAUAAGACACAAGAGUAUUGGGAUCAAUCCUUGAUUAAUCAUCAGGUUUGAUUCCCAAUCUCACAAGCAAUGCAACAGAUAGACACAAGGCAUUAUCAAGUUCUAUUCUUUGCAAGCUAGCUCUCUAAGAACAAGCAAGAUCCUAACAGAUUCAAGACAAGUUACUUAGGCACUUUUAAAAGCUUCUUUACUCAGCACUUUAGACAUGAAUCUAAUGCUUCAAUGUAAGACAGCCACAAGACUAUAUGCAACAGCUUUAAAUUCAGUUUCAAUCCAUGUAUGCAAGCAGAUUCAGUUAAUCACUCUAAGCAUCACUAUGAAACGAAGCUAAGCAUAUUAAUCACAUUCAGUCACCAAACAAAGCUCUUAAAGUAUCCUGGGACAGAUUCUAAACAUUUUAAUUUAUCAAUCUUUAACAGUCCUCAGGUUUUCAAUCACAUCACACAAUACAACCAGUCAACAACACAAGCUCAUUAUCAAGAGGGUUUUAAAAUCGCUUACACAAGGAACCAGGUUGGUUCCUUAAACCUCCAAGGGGACUGGCCAUGGCUUUUGUUGAAUCUGAGAGUCUGGAUAGUCACCCACCUCCUACUCCUUCAGUUCAUGGCCACCUUCUUGUUUCUCCAACUCAAAGACUCCUCCUUUCUUCAAGUCUUCUAGGCGCCAUCAUCUUGACAGCUUUCAUGAUGAACCGGGUGAAGAAAGCUCUUGGAGGAGGCGCCUUGGAUGAGGUUCGUGAGUCCUCUCCAUACACUUCUGCUUCCAAUGAGUCUCUCCAUCAGGAUAGACAGGAGAAAGGAUAAGAGACACGCCCUUCAGUCUUCUUCUCAUGGAGAAACUGAACUCGGAUGGGAAUGUCUUCAAGGGUUGGAUUUGAGCUGAGGGUAGAGCUUGUGUUGUGCGGAAGCUACAGCUCAGGUUCUGAUGAACCUGGCUCUGAGAACAUAUGAUUUUUAAAGAGAUCUCUACUCUGGUAGUAUGUGUGUGUGUAUAAGCUUCAAUGAAGAAUGAUUAGAGCUUGUUCUAGGUGAUAUAUAGGAAAGGAUUAGUGAGAGUGUUUAUGAGUAUGUGAGACUUAAGAACAGAGAUUGAGAGACUUAAGAGACUAGAGAGAAACUGAGAGAAUAAGAGACUGAAGAUUAGAGAAGGAGAAGGGAAACCCCCUUACUCACUUAAUGUUUCCAAUUGUUUACAAGAAGCUUAAAUACAUAAAUGGAGGCUGAAUUCAUCAGAUAACCUAAGCAUGUGAAGUCAGCAUAAAGGGGAGCCCCAAUUUGAAUUCUAUGGACCAGAAUCAUCACAUGCUUGGCCAAUGGGAGUCUUUGGCGUGUCUGGCCUUUACAGGCUGUCAUGAGCUGUCUUGUGGACUGAAUACUUGGCUGUGAUUGGUCUGUGUGAGCUGGAGAGAAAGGCACCUUCCUGGUUGCUUCCUAAGGCAUCUUUGAAUAUGCCAAAUGGAUCUUUCUCCCUUGGAUAGUCUCACACGCCCUUCUCCUUGCCUUGUCUCCCAAGACAUGAUCAGACUUGGCUGUACGAAUGUCAGGACCGUAUACCUUGUGCCCUAAGAUUGCACAUUCCUCAAAUGUGCUCAAAUGGCCGAAAUGAUAAGUUUCGGGUCGAUCAUGUCCGUACGGUCUGUACCGUUCGUACGUCCGUCCGUACAGGUCGAUCCCUAACUUUGCACCAUCGACCAUAAUCUUCCAAACUCUUCCAAUGUCUUGUAAACACCAUCAAGACACUUCUUAGAUCUUGUCUCUUCUUUGCAUCAGCUUCUAAACACUUCCGAAGCUUAAUAGAACUCUUCUGGAGAUCUUCUGGAGCUUGCCCUAUUUAUAAACAAGCUCCAUCUUCUCUUCAGUUCAACACUCUCCCUCAAGCUUGACUUUAGGAGAUCCUAAGUCAAGCUUGGAACCCUGAAGAGUCUCCCUCAUUAAAAACCUUACAAGGAAAACCCAUUGGGACAAAACCUUGCAAGGGAAAAAGAGUAGAGAUCUCCAAGGCCUAGGGAUUGGCCAGUGAGCUCUUGUGCCUUAGAACCAGUGUGGUUGGACAUAAGAAGCUCUGGAUCACGGCCUAAACAGGUGCAGCAACACUUCAAGGCUUGCGCACACUUCACCACACUUUCUUGGACUCUUCUAUAGAACCGGCUUAGUGUCUCCCCCUUUCAUAUGACUUCAUGCCAUCUUGAAAGGCUAGGAACGACCUGAUCCUCUCCAUUGAGUCUCCAAGUAAGGUACCUGAUACAUCAUUCCACAAGUGUAUCAGUACUUAUCAAGUAACAUAACUCAAUCAAUUCAUGCUUAUAGACCGUCUUAGUAAGACUAGUAUUCCUCAUAGAUUACUAGAUAUGUUGCCGUCUAGGAAAACUAGUAUUCCUAACGAAUUACUAGAUAUGAUUGAAAAUGAUGAAUUGAAAUUGAGUACGGGGAAACUUCCCUUUUGUUUUGGUGAGGAGUGACUAGAUUGGCUCGUCACUUGAAUUCCUCAUACUAUGUUAUUUCACCAUCCUCAUGGCAACACCAACUCUUCUUGGAACUCUCCUUUGGACCGGCCUGAGUCUUGAACCAGGAGCUCAACAACCUCGUGGCCUGCGCUUCUUAAACCGGCUUCUACACACAAGAACCUUCCCAUUGCUCCACACAAUGGUCAAGUCUUCCGCUUGUAUGUCUUGAACCAGGAGCUCAACAACCUCGUGGCCUGCGCUUCUUAAACUAGCUUCUACACACAAGUAUCUUCCCAUUGCUCCACACAAUGGUUCAAGUCUUUCUCUUGUCUUGGAUAGGUGGUGAGCAAAGAACACUUCUUGUGAACCUGAAACACCACUCAAACUCCAGCAAGGAUAAGACACAAGAGUAUUGGGAUCAAUCAUUGAUUAAUCAUCAAGUUUGAUUCCCAAUCUCACAAGCAUUGCAACAGAUUAAAAUAAGUCAUUUUCAAGUUCUAUCUUUGCAAGCAAUCUCUCUAAGCACAAGCACUUUCUUUUCAGAUUUAUGCAAGCUACUUAGGCAUUUUUAAAGCUUCUUUACUCAGCAUUUAGACAUGAAUCUAAUGCUUCAAUGUAAGAUAGCCACAAGACUAUAUGCAACAGCUUUCAAUUCGGUUUCAAUCCAUGUAUGCAAGUAGAUUCAAUCAAUCACAACAAGCAUCAUUAUGAACUGGAGCUAAGCAUAUUAACAUAUCUAGUAAUCCUAGUAAUACUUAUAAGUUACUAGACAUUUUUAAAUGCGCUUACUGCUGCUAGUAAGCCUAGUAUAACUAGUAAGAUUUUCGGAUUACUAGGAAACCAAGCUCUUUAAGUAUCCUGUGACAGAUUCUAAAUUCAUUUUAUUUCAUUUAGUAAUCUUUUAAACAAUCCUCAGGUUUUCAAUCACAUCACAUCAUCACAACCAGUCAACAACACAAGCUCAUUAUCAAGAUGGUUUAUAGAAUCGCUUACAACAAGGAACCAGGUUGAUUCCUUUUGCAUUUUGUGAAACCGGCCAUGACUUUUGUUGGAUCUGAGAGUCUGGAUCAUCACCCACCUCCUUCUCCUUCAGUUCAUGGCCACCAUCUUGUACCAUCAACUCAAAAGACCCCUCCUUUCUUCAUAAAAUCUGGGCGCCAAACUCUUGACACCAUACUCUUGUAGCCGGAUGUGAAACUUCUCUUGGACAAGAAGCUUUGGAGUCAAGUUAGUUAGGCCUCUCCAUACACUUUUGCCUCCAAGGAUAAUCUCCAUCUGAGCAAGUAGAGAACAUGAUGAGGAACCAAGGGAAAUCGCCAAGCUUCAGCCUUCUUCUUCACAAGGGACUGAACCGGAUGGGAAAGCCUCAAUGGUUUGGUUUUGAGCUGAAGCAUGAGCUGUGGACUUGCGGAAUCUUUAGCUCAGGUUCUGAUGAACCUGGCUCUGAUACCAUAUGAGAUUUGUAGAGUUCUCUUCUCUGGUGUAUGUGUGUGUGUAUAAACUCCAAUGGAGAAAGAUGAGAGCUUGCUCUAGGUGAUUUAGAAAGAGAGAUUGUCCAAGAGUGUUUAUGAGAGAAUAAGAGACUUAGGAACAGAGAUUAAGAGACUGAGAGAUUAGGAGAGUAAGAGAUUAGAGAUUAGGGUUUUAGAUUCAAGAACAAGUUUAUGAUUCAUGAAGUGGAGAGGGGAAAUCCCCCUUACUCCCUUAAAGAGUUUACAAUUGUUUACAAGAGGCUUAAAUACAUAAAUGGAGGCUGGAUACAUCAGAUAACCAAAGCAUGUGAAGUCAACAUAAAGGGGAGCACCCCUUUUGAAUUCUAUGGACCAGAAUCAUCACAUGCUUGGCCAAUGGGAGUCUUUGGCGUGUCUGGCCUUUACAGGCUGUCAUGAGCUGUCUUGUGGACUGAAUACUUGGCUGUGAUUGGUCUGUGUGAGCUGGAGAGAAAGGCACCUUCCUGGUUGCUUCCUAAGGCAUCUUUGAAUAUGCCAAAUGGAUCUUUCUCCCUUGGAUAGUCUCACACGCCCUUCUCCUUGCCUUGUCUCCCAAGACAUGAUCAGACUUGGCUGUACGAAUGUCAGGACCGUACACCUUGUGCCCUAAGAUUGCACAUUCCUCAAAUGUGCUCAAAUGGCCGAAAUGAUAAGUUUCGGGUCGAUCAUGUCCGUACGGUCUGUACCGUUCGUACGUCCGUCCGCACAGGUCGAUCCCUAACUUUGCACCAUCGACCAUAAUCUUCCAAACUCUUCCAAUGUCUUGUAAAAACCUUCAAGACACUUCUUAGAUCUUGUCUCUUCUUUGCAUUAGCUUCUAAACACUUCCGAAGCUUAAUAGAACUCUUCUGGAGAUCUUCUGGAGCUUGCCCUAUUUAUAAACAAGCUCCAUCUUCUCUUCAUUUCAACAGAGAGGGCUACCUGAUCAUGAAUCAGAGUGGGUACGCAUGAGUGAAGCUGUUAUGUGGUUUCCAACUGCUAAGCUUGAGGACAAGCUGAAUCUUCGUUUGGGGAAUGUAAGAUAGCCACAAGACUAUAUGCAACAGCUUUCAAUUCGGUUUCAAUCCAUGUAUGCAAGUAGAUUCAAUCAAUCACAACAAGCAUCAUUAUGAACUGGAGCUAAGCAUAUGAUAGGCAGUUGGAAGAUAAGCAGUUAGAAGAUCAGCGUUGAUCGAGAUGAGGUCUAGAUAUUUGUAAUUGCACUUUGUACUUCCCUUUACUUCAAUAAAUACUAUUCUACUACUCAGAUUCAUAACAUACAUAUCCUUAAUCUGAGAGACUUCCGUGUGCUUGCAUGUUUGAUCCAAGAUACUUCGUCAGAGACACGACUCCCCCCGUCGUAUCCACCGCUAUAGUUUUCUUCGUUUAAUGUUGAGAUGUUGGCCAUAACACCCAGUGGUUACGUGCUCGACAGUUUGAGAGUGUUGUCAAGCCAAAGGUAUUGCUUAUCAUUUUAGUAGUGCUUUAUAUGAAAUAUGUUUUAUGUCUGGUUGUGAAUUUUGAAUUGUUCAAAACAGAUCCACUAUAUGCGACUACUGGACCUGGGAUAUGGAAAGUCACAGGUGAAAGGAAGUAUCUCAAUGAACAGAACCGAACAUUAAUGUGAGAAAUAGCCCCAUAUUUAGCACAAUGGUUCUGGUCUGAAUAUAUGCCUAUGCAAUGUUCUUCUCUCUAACUAUUGUUCUGAUUAUUUUUAUUUUCAGAGAAAGCACUUGCUCUUCUCCUAUUAAUUGUGAUGAGUAUAGUUAUGUCAUUACCAAGUUUAAUGUCUACUUAAACGCAUAAUUUCACGGUAAGUCUUCACAUAGUUAAAUUUACGCAUACCAAAUUAGUUGAACAAAAAAUUGGGCAUGCACAAGAUUACAUGGCUUAAUUUGACUUACAUAUUUCAUUUAAUGUUGAGAUUUUGAUCCUUUGAGAGUUCAGUAACUAGAACCAGUUUUUUCAUUCUCCAUUUUCCAUUUCAUAUGCUCAAAUGGUUAUCAUGAUCUGAGUUUUGGUCUCAAAAAUUCUGUUACUCUGUAUUUCCACUCAACCUUUCAUCUACUACCGAUAUUACAUACAGUUCAGUUCAUUUUUGAUUUUUUUUUUAAUUCUUGCAGAUUGGUGAAUAUGCGUGAUAAAGAUAUGAGCUGUGGACUUGCGGAAUCUUUAGCUCAGGUUCUGAUGAACCUGGCUCUGAUACCAUAUGAGAUUUGUAGAGUUCUCUUCUCUGGUGUAUGUGUGUGUGUAUAAACUCCAAUGGAGAAAGAUGAGAGCUUGCUCUAGGUGAUUUAGAAAGAGAGAUUGUCCAAGAGUGUUUAUGAGAGAAUAAGAGACUUAGGAACAGAGAUUAAGAGACUGAGAGAUUAGGAGAGUAAGAGAUUAGAGAUUAGGGUUUUAGAUUCAAGAACAAGUUUAUGAUUCAUGAAGUGGAGAGGGGAAAUCCCCCUUACUCCCUUAAAGAGUUUACAAUUGUUUACAAGAGGCUUAAAUACAUAAAUGGAGGCUGGAUACAUCAGAUAACCAAAGCAUGUGAAGUCAACAUAAAGGGGAGCACCCAUUUUGAAUUCUAUGGACCAGAAUCAUCACAUGCUUGGCCAAUGGGAGUCUUUGGCGUGUCUGGCCUUUACAGGCUGUUAUGAGCUGUCUUGUGGACUGAAUACUUGGCUGUGAUUGGUCUGUGUGAGCUGGAGAGAAAGGCACCUUCCUGAUUGCUUCCUAAGGCAUCUUUGAAUAUGCCAAAUGGAUCUUUCUCCCUUGGAUAGUCUCACACGCCCUUCUCCUUGCCUUGUCUCCCAAGACAUGAUCAGACUUGGCUGUACGAAUGUCAGGACCGUACACCUUGUGCCCUAAGAUUGCACAUUCCUCAAAUGUGCUCAAAUGGUCUAC
rnacentral:lncRNA from 1 species